UUCAAGUGAAAUCAAUUCCAAAACACAGCUUGAUAUAAAUUUCAAGCAACAAACAUAUGGCGAAACAUCUAACCACAAUCUGUAAUCUCAUCAUAUGCAAAGAUUAUAACAAGUUAAUACAAAACCAAAAUAAAUUUUACCCGAUUGAUUGUGGAAAUUUCUUCCUUAUUCUGAGGUUAGCACAACAAAAAGAUUCAAUUGUAAAAAAUUACAGCCUCUCACCACUGGUAUAUCACAAAUUGCAGAUGAAGAAUGAUAAGUAAUCAUCUAUUCACAAUUAUCUAAGGUUGAGAACCAAAUGAAUUUUGAAUUCCCAUGAUUGCGGUCAACGAGUAAAUGAUUUCCUUCAUAUCAGCCCAUUCAAGAAUUUCAGUUACUUCAUGUUAAUUGAGGAAAGUUUCCCU
rnacentral:lncRNA from 1 species